CAGCAGGGAGAGCUGUGAAUGGGCUGUCCCUGGUGCAGCCUGCACCCUGUGGAGCAGGGAUUCGAGCUUUACGGUGAGGUUGUUCGGGUGUCUGUGGUUGAAGAAGGCGGUCAUCAAAGCCGAGCAGGAACGUGGGCAGGGAGGCCCGUGAGCCGGGCAGGCACGACACACACGGCAAAGGCUGACGACAGCGGCAGGGACCGAGAGCCGAAGAGAAACGAGGAUGAUACACAUCACCAAGGUGCGGGAGACAGUUGUGACCGCUUCAUCACUUUAACUUCCUCCUCUGAGAUGAUUUUGUAGGGUGUGGGAAGCUGAG
ensembl:lincRNA